rnacentral:rRNA from 1 species
UAAGACGGAGGGGGCUAGCGUUGUUCGGAAUUACUGGGCGUAAAGGGCGCGUAGGCGGCUCUUCAAGUUAGACGUGAAAGCCCUGGGCUUAACCUAGGAAUAGCGUUUAAUACUGGAGAGCUAGAGAUUGGUAGAGGGAAAUGGAAUUCCUAGUGUAGAGGUGAAAUUCGUAGAUAUUAGGAAGAACACCAGAGGCGAAGGCGGUUUCCUGGGCCAAUACUGACGCUGAGGCGCGAAAGCGUGGGGAGCAAACAGGAUUAGAUACCCUGGUAGUCCACGCUGUAAACGAUGAGUGCUAGACGCUGGUGAGUAAUUCAUCGGUGUCGCAGCUAACGCAUUAAGCACUCCGCCUGGGGAGUACGGUCGCAAGAUUA